CAUAGGCAGGCAGGCCUAACACAUGCAAGUCGAGCGGAUGAGGGUAGCUUGCUACCUGAUUCAGCGGCGGACGGGUGAGUAAUGCCUAGGAAUCUGCCCGAUAGUGGGGGACAACGUUUCGAAAGGAACGCUAAUACCGCAUACGUCCUACGGGAGAAAGCAGGGGACCUUCGGGCCUUGCGCUAUCGGAUGAGCCUAGGUCGGAUUAGCUAGUUGGUGGGGUAAAGGCUCACCAAGGCGACGAUCCGUAACUGGUCUGAGAGGAUGAUCAGUCACACUGGAACUGAGACACGGUCCAGACUCCUACGGGAGGCAGCAGUGGGGAAUAUUGGACAAUGGGCGAAAGCCUGAUCCAGCCAUGCCGCGUGUGUGAAGAAGGUCUUCGGAUUGUAAAGCACUUUAAGCUGGGAGGAAGGGCAGUAAGUUAAUACCUUGCUGUUUUGACGUUACCAGCAGAAUAAGCACCGGCUAACUUCGUGCCAGCAGCCGCGGUAAUA
rnacentral:rRNA from 1 species